CAUUUUAGUGCACACAGCCAGGGCAUCUAGAGCAGAUUCUAGUUUUUGCAGUUUUGCUAAAGCCCAAUACCCAUUUGUGCUGGUAGCUGUGGUAGUGAUGAUGCAGAAGGGAACAUGUUCAUCCUCACAAAAUGCUCCCCAAGGUAGCAACCCAGAGUCUAGCACUAGGUUUGUGCUUUGAACUCAUCUAAGACAGAGCAUGUCCAAAGAGUCAUAAUUGCAGGGUGACAAGAUUGGAGGUCAGUGCUCUAUUUUCCAGCUAAAUAAGGGAAUGAGAAGUUGAGAGUUGAUACCUCCCUCUCCUCUCCCUCACUUGCAAGCACUUUGCACUUCCUUGCUAAGGCCUCAGGCUCCAGAGGGGCCCAGGAAGGUCUUAGAACCCAGCAAAGAGAGCUGAGUUUUCCUAUGGCACCCAAUAAGGUCUCAAGGAAGAAGGGAGGGAUGGGAGUGGCCCAAUCCUUAAUAACGUUCCUGCGGAUCUUUGUUUUCCUAAAGACUGGCUUGCAGACCGCAAGUAUGACUCCACUAGCAGCGAUGACGACGACAAUCCAGCUGUCUACACUCUUUGAGGAGGAGGAGUCUGUUUACAUCAACCUUCUUUUCUGGGAAUGCACAGAAGAAAUCAAUGAUGUAAAAAGAGAGGAAGAAGAGGAAGAAGAAAUGAAGUUCAGCAUUCAUGAGGAGCUUGCUGGAGUGCCUGCAACUGUGUGUGAAUAUGGACGUGGAGAUAGGAAUCUGAUGGGGAAAUGAGCACAGGCAAGUGAAGGGUGCCCUGAGAACCUCUCCCCGUGAGUAGAAGUGCUUUCCAUGUUAACCCUAAAGCUGAUCAGCUAUGCCAUCCCUUGGCUCCUUAAUUUGUAGGAGAGGACUCUAGCCCUCUUCAGGACCAAAGUUUGCCCUCCCAAUCCACCUAAGGCCUGCCAAAUCCUCCUGUCU
rnacentral:lncRNA from 1 species